UACGUAGGGUGCAAGCGUUGUCCGGAAUUAUUGGGCGUAAAGAGCUCGUAGGCGGUCUGUCACGUCGGCUGUGAAAUCCCGAGGCUCAACCUCGGGUCUGCAGUCGAUACGGGCAAACUAGAGUAUUGCAGGGGAGACUGGAAUUCCUGGUGUAGCGGUGAAAUGCGCAGAUAUCAGGAGGAACACCGGUGGCGAAGGCGGGUCUCUGGAACGGUACUGACGCUGGAGACGCGAAAGCGUGGGGAGCGAACAGG
rnacentral:rRNA from 1 species